rnacentral:tRNA from 1 species
GAGGGUAUAGCUCAAGUGGCAGAGCACAGGCUUAGCAUGCACAAGGUCCUGGGUUCGAUCCCCAGUACCUCCU